rnacentral:lncRNA from 1 species
CUGGCUGUGGGAUGGGAAGUGAAGCCCCAGCGAGCGGCUGUGGUGGGGCUGUGCGGAGCAGCCAGCGGGAGGCGGCGGCGGCAGCGCGGCGGUGAGCAGCCGAGAGCGCGGAGCCGGGCGGAGGAAGCACCUGCAGGCACAGGCGGCGGCUCCACCAUGGCGAUUCGCAAGAAGAGCAACAAGAACCCGCCGGUGUUGAGCCAUGAAUUCGUGCUGCAGAAUCACGCGGACAUCGUCUCCUGUCUGGCGAUGCUCUUCCUGCUGGGGCUUAUGUUCGAGAUAACAGCAAAAGGAGCCAUCAUCUUUGUCGCCCUUCAGUACAACGUUACCCGCCCUGCAACAGAAAAUUAACCGACGGAUGCACUUCUCCAAAACGAAGCACAGCAAGUUUAAUGAGUCCGGGCAGCUCAGUGCGUUCUACCUUUUUGCCUGUGUGUGGGGCACAUUCAUUCUCGUCUCCGAAAACUAUAUCUCAGACCCGACGAUCCUGUGGAGAGCGUAUCCCCAUAACCUGAUGACAUUUCAAAUGAAGUUUUUCUACAUAUCCCAGUUGGCGUAUUGGCUCCAUGCAUUCCCUGAACUCUACUUCCAGAAAACCAAAAAAGAAGAUAUUCCUCGCCAGCUUGUCUACAUCGGUCUUUACCUCUUCCACAUUGCUGGGGCUUACCUUCUGAACUUGAACCAUCUGGGCCUUGUUCUUCUGGUGCUGCACUAUUUCGUUGAAUUUCUUUUCCACAUUUCUCGUCUAUUUUAUUUUAGUGACGAGAAGUACCAGAAAGGGUUUUCUCUUUGGGCGGUUCUUUUUGUUUUGGGAAGACUUCUGACCCUAAUUCUUUCAGUCCUCACUGUUGGCUUUGGCCUGGCAAGAGCAGAGAACCAGAAGCUGGACUUCAGUACUGGGAACUUCAAUGUGUUGGCGGUUAGGAUCGCGGUCCUAGCGUCCAUUUGCAUCACUCAAGCCUUCAUGAUGUGGAAGUUCAUUAACUUCCAGCUUCGGAGGUGGAGGGAACAUUCUGCCUUCCAGGCCCCUCCCGUGAAAAGGAAACCGGCUGUGACCAAAGGCAGGUCUUCCAGAAAAGGAACAG